CGUAUCAUCUACCCCCGUCGUCCUCUCUCCCUUCCUCUCCGUUGCCUAUUAAGACCACCACCACCCCUCCUCACACAGCAGCCACCAGUUCCACCCUCACCCUCUUCUACCCAUUGGAAAUCGCAGCUCUGAACUCAUGUCCAAGCUCUCAAGCCUCUCUCCAUCUCUCUCUUGCACCUAACCUAGUCUUCUUCCAGGUUUCAGCCGAUCCCAACCAUGUCGUCCUUCGCCCACCUCCUACUCUCACUCACCCUCAUCUUCCAAUAUCUCACAAAGGCUUCUCCUAGCCAUAAAAAAUACAUUCUCCUUUUGAGGCCACCCGCCGACGCCGGCUGCUUCACGUGGACAUCAGUCCAUCCACAACAUGUGUACACUUCGUGGGUGUGACUCCGCUGACAUAGUAGCCGGGAUAGACGAAGCUAUCAAGGAUGAGUUAGCCAUCUGAAGUGAUCUAAGGUGCCGCUCAGAAUCUGGGUGGCGAAGGAACUUCUGUCAGCAGUGCACAAGAAGAAAGGCAUCUGCACAGGCUUUAUUUUAGAUGAUGAGGACACUUCAAGAUGAUUAAUAGUGUUGUCGAUGCUACGAGAAAUAGUGCAUCAUAAAGAAAAAUUGAGUAACUAUUGUGCAUCUAUCAGUUAGAUAUUGCUACUUUUUUUAGCUCACAGUACAGUCUGCCUUUUAUGUUGUUGUAGGUGUUGCUGUUUCUAAGUUCUUCUGCACAUACAUGCCUUUGCAGAUUAGUUUUUCCUUGAUCAUGGCACCCUUAAAAUUAUAUAACUACAGUAAACAUAAGAUCUGCACAUCUAUGGGCUUCUUUUCUGCUAGGAUAAAAGUUUUUCAGCAUGCUUCAGUCAUCUGAGGAAUAAAUUCUAUGUAAACUGAGACACAUUUUAAUGCAGAUAAAUCAAAUAAAUGUUCUUUUGUACUAAAUAAAAAUUAGAACAUACAUGGACAUUUAUUUUCUUUCUACACAACGGUUAGUGUAAAAAGAAAAUAUGGUCAGGUGUACAUGAUAAAGAGAUACAGCAUCUGAGAAACUUGUAAUUAUAUUGCAAUGUUUUGAUAUGGUUGCACAUUCCUGUAUUGACUAGGCCAGAUUUCUCGCAUGGCUCAAUUUAGUUAGUGUACCCCUUAUUAUCAGGUAGGUACUACUUAAAACAUCUCUUCUUAAUGUUUUAUUUCGUGGUAUACAGUAUGAUGGAGCGUUAGUUGGCUUGGCUUUUGUGGCACUCAUUGAUGAGCUUUCGAUUUAGUAGUUUUUGUGCCCUCUUGAUCCAUGAGAGUAUGUUCAUGUUGAAGAAAUUGUAGCAAUAAUGAGGGGCGCGAGAAAUAUUUGUUAUCUGGCAUGCUUUCCUAAUGAAUUUCACAUGUGGACCAUUUAUUGUUUGUGUUA